UAUUGGCGUUAUGAAUCCGUCCCAACGCGGAAAUGUGGGGUAUUUGUUGUGGUAACACGGAGUCGCCUCUCACUCCGUUAACAGCUAACUUUUAACAGAAACUCCUUUAAUGAACUCGGAAAUGUCAGUAACGAUUAAAAAUGGAAGCGAAGUUGACUUGUUGACGUUAUCUCAUGUUUUAGCUGGGGCAGCGCGCGAGGUCCGGAAAGUUCAGCACGCGCACUGAAGGAUGGACCGGACACGGUUUGUGUGUCUCUGUCUGCUUAUAUGUCUGAGUGGACCGUGUUUACAGUGUAAAGGAGGAAGCUCAGUCACUCUCCCCGAGUCUCUGCUCUUUGUCUCUACACUAGAUGGGAGUCUACACGCCAUUAGCAAACAAACUGGAGACAUCAAAUGGACUCUGAAGGAAGAUCCAAUCAUCCAAGUUCCAGUUUAUCUGCAGGAACCAGGUUUCCUUCCUGACCCUAAUGAUGGUAGUCUGUACAUGUUGGGAGAUAAACACAAACAGGGUCUAAUGAAACUUCCCUUCACUAUUCCAGAGUUGGUUCAGUCAUCUCCAUGCAGAAGCUCAGACGGCAUCCUGUACACAGGUAAAAAACAGGAUACAUGGUUUGUAGUGGAUCCUCAGACAGGGGAGAAACAGACGAGUUUAAGCACCGCGUCCUCUGAUUCCAUCUGUCCAUCAGCUCCUCUCCUAUACAUCGGACGUACCGAGUACAUGAUCACCAUGUUUGACACUAAGACACAGGAACUGCGCUGGAAUGCGACCUAUAACGAUUACUCCGCUCCUCUAUACGACGACCAGAAAUAUGAUUACAAGAUGUCCCACUUUGUCUCGAGCAGUGACGGUCUGGUGGUGACGGUGGACCGUGACUCGGGCGACAUGCUGUGGAUGCAGAAGUUCGAGUCGCCUGUAGCCGGAGUCUACCUGUGGAUUCAGGACGGUCUGCGGCGAGUGCCUCACCUCACCGUCGCUACGGAAACCCUGCGAUAUCUCACAUUCAUGGCACAAAAUACACACUCACACCCCAUGAGGUGGACCUACCAGUUUACAAAGGAGCAGCACAGCACCAAGACACAGCUUGUUCCAUCUCUGUAUGUGGGGAAAAUGGACUCUCACCUGUACGCCUCCACCUCUCUCGUCCAUGAAGGAGUCGCUGUAGUGCCUCACAGUCUUACACUGGCACGUAUUGAAGGGCCAACCACAGCGGGCGUGACGGUGGGGAAUGGGCGGAGCGAGUGUGAGAUUACGCCCAGCACCGACGUCAAGUUCCCACCAGGAAGCACCAACCCACUGCAGAACCAGUGGCUUCUGAUAGGUCAUCAUGAAGUUCCCCCUGUAGCCCACACCACCAUGCUGAGAGACUUCCCAGAGAACCUGCAACGCUCUGGUGACAUCAUCCCUCCUCAAGGUUCCCCUUCCUCAUACAGACCCGGAGCUCACUCGAUGCCCCCAUUAACACAUGGAGGUUCUUCCACUACCUUGCCUGACUCUUUGACCUCUGACCCUGUAACCUCAUUGUUGGUCACACUGCUGCUUGCCACACUGCUAGCUUUCUUGUUCACCUACAAGCGACACAUCAAAAAAACGCAGCAAUCAGAGGAAAUGAUGAAUUCAAGACCUUUAAUAGAUAACACCAGUCAGACCAGUCAGCUUUUACCCACAGGAAAUGACAUCACCUCAUCAGCUUACAGCAACAGCAAUCAGUCAGACCACAGCAGCUCGGUCUCGUCCAAUCAAACACGGCCACGUUCGGACACCCAGGACUCCGCCCCAACCAUUACAUCUAAUGUAUCCAGCGUGUCCGAGGGUGAGGCUAUGCCUCCCGACCUGGUGGAAGUGGGAAAAAUCUCCUUCAGCCCCUCUGAGGUUCUGGGACACGGUACGGAGGGCACCUUCGUCUUCAGAGGUCACUUUGACGGGCGACACGUAGCAGUGAAACGUAUCCUGCCUGAGUGUGUGGAGUUUGCUGAGCGUGAGGUUCAGUUGCUGCGUGAAUCAGACGAACAUCCCAACGUCAUCCGCUACUUCUGCACCGAGCGUGACCGCCAGUUCAUCUACAUCGCCACCGAGCUGUGUGCAGCCACCUUACAGCAGUAUGUGGAGGACCCGAGCUGUCUGUAUUCCAAACUGGACCCUGUGACCCUGCUGGAGCAGACCAUGUGUGGACUCAAUCACCUCCACUCCCUCAACAUCGUCCACAGAGACCUGAAGCCUCGUAAUAUUCUCCUCUCGGCUCCGGGAGCGCUCGGCCGAGUGCGAGCCGUGAUCUCUGAUUUCGGGUUGUGUAAAAAACUUCCGGACGGUCGGCACAGUUUCAGCCUGCGCUCCGGAAUCCCGGGAACGGAAGGCUGGAUCGCUCCGGAAUUACUCAUGGGUGACGAGAAGGGAAACCCUACGAGUGCAGUGGACAUUUUCUCAGCAGGCUGUCUGUUUUAUUACGUCAUAUCCAGAGGACAGCAUCCGUUCGGGGACACGUUACGUCGCCAAGCUAACAUCCUCUGUGGAGUGUACAGUCUGGAGAAUUUCAUGGAGGAUAUACACGAGGACGUCAUUGCCAGAGAUUUGAUAGAGAUGAUGAUCAGCUCAGAUCAGGAGUCCCGCCCCUCCACCGCCUCCGUCCUGAAACACCCGUUUUUUUGGAGGCCGGACAAACAGCUCCAGUUCUUUCAGGAUGUCAGUGAUCGUAUAGAAAAAGAACCAGCAGAGAGCGCUAUUGUGGUCCGUUUGGAGACGUCGGGCCGAUCAGUGGUCAGAACCAACUGGAGGAUGCACAUCUCAGCGCCCCUACAGGCCGAUCUGAGGAAGUUCCGCACAUAUAAAGGAAACUCGGUCAGAGACCUGCUCAGAGCCAUGAGAAAUAAAAAGCAUCAUUAUCAUGAACUCCCCCCUGAGGUCCAGGCGACGCUGGGUGAAGUCCCAGAAGGCUUUGUGGCGUACUUCACCUCACGCUUCCCGCGGUUACUUCUGCACACACACACUGCACUGAGCAUCUGCACCUCUGAGAGACUGUUCCACCCUUAUUACCACAACUAAUCACACACACACACACACUGAACUAAUCCCCAGCCAUACUGCAGGUGAAGAUGUAAAGCAGAACACCACGGGGUUCAUUCAGGAUUUUUCAGAAUGCUGGGACAGACACUAACUCAUGGAUCCGGAAGACUUUCAGGAAAACGCUGCUGUCUCCAGUGGAACUGCUGAUGUCCUCGUCCAUAACGUCCAGCUUUUUAGUAUUGUUUUUCUUCAGGAGGCCAGUCCUGAUGCUCUGAAUGAUGACCGCUUGGUGGUCUAAGCAGUGGUUUGGUUUAAGCUUAUUAAGCCUUUAGAGCUGUGAAGUGGACAGUAAGAAGCUUCAGCUGUUGUGGUUGUUCAGCAGGAGUGUGUGUUCUGUUGCUUCGCUGUAAUCACAGGGAAACAGCUCUCUGAGGGUUUACACCCUAAAUCCCUGACAGGAACGAAGGAGGUUUGAUGAAAAGACACAGCUUGUUUGUUUUAAUCGCCGCUAGACCCUGACCUUGACUGGACCCUGACCUUGACUGGAAGAGCUAGCUGUUACGAGAAUCAUUUAGUUUUAUCCCAAAAACAAAUUCAUCUAUAAAUCCUUCUCAAGAUUAUUUACACAAUUCUUUCAAAUGUAAUCGGGAAACACCUGAAUACGAUCUUAUACACAGAUCACACUGACACAGUAACAUUCAUUUACUUCAGUAUCUCACACACACUGUUUUAAAAGAAAACAAAUCGAUAAAUUCAUAAAAAUACAAACUAGCUGUUCAAUCAGGAAAGUAAUGGCACCCUGUGAAAGGAGGAAGAGUGUGUGUGUGUGUGUGGUGCUGCAGUAGGGAGAUUACUGGAAUCUUUCUCGCUCUUCAGUCGCCAUUUUGUCUUUGUGGAGGUCAGAGUGGGCGUGGCUUAAUCUAAAGGUGUUCACACGAAAUCAUUCACACCCCGUUUUAUUAAACACCAACCAGACGUGAACAUCCUGAAAACUGUGAUUGUCUCCAUCACUCAGAUAAACACACACACACACACACACACACAGUGCUACAGGACAGUGAGUCUGACUAAAAGCUGGGAGACAAACCAGAAAUAUUUAGCUUAUUAACCUGAAACAGUCGCUGGUGUUUGUCAGAAACUCGGAGCUGAAGCGUGGUGGUGGUGGUGAUGGUGGAGGUGGUGGUGAUGACUGUGGAGAUGGUGGAGGUGGUGGUGAUGACUGUGGAGAU